rnacentral:tRNA from 1 species
GUCUCUGUGGCGCAAUCGGUUAGCGCGUUCGGCUGUUAACCGAAAGGUUGGUGGUUCAAGUCCACACAGGGACG